rnacentral:rRNA from 1 species
AGCGAAUGGAUUAAGAGCUUGCUCUUAUGAAGUUAGCGGCGGACGGGUGAGUAACACGUGGGUAACCUGCCCAUAAGACUGGGAUAACUCCGGGAAACCGGGGCUAAUACCGGAUAACAUUUUGAACCGCAUGGUUCGAAAUUGAAAGGCGGCUUCGGCUGUCACUUAUGGAUGGACCCGCGUCGCAUUAGCUAGUUGGUGAGGUAACGGCUCACCAAGGCAACGAUGCGUAGCCGACCUGAGAGGGUGAUCGGCCACACUGGGACUGAGACACGGCCCAGACUCCUACGGGAGGCAGCAGUAGGGAAUCUUCCGCAAUGGACGAAAGUCUGACGGAGCAACGCCGCGUGAGUGAUGAAG